rnacentral:rRNA from 1 species
GACGAACGCUGGCGGCGUGCCUAAUACAUGCCAGUUGAGCGCUGAAGGUUGGUACUUGUACCAACUGGAUGAGCAGCGAACGGGUGAGUAACGCGUGGGGAAUCUGCCUUUGAGCGGGGGACAACAUUUGGAAACGAAUGCUAAUACCGCAUAAAAACUUUAAACACAAGUUUUAAGUUUGAAAGAUGCAAUUGCAUCACUCAAAGAUGAUCCCGCGUUGUAUUAGCUAGUUGGUGAGGUAAAGGCUCACCAAGGCAAUGAUACAUAGCCGACCUGAGAGGGUGAUCGGCCACAUUGGGACUGAGACACGGCCCAAACUCCUACGGGAGGCAGCAGUAGGGAAUCUUCGGCAAUGGACGAAAGUCUGACCGAGCAACGCCGCGUGAGUGAAGAAGGUUUUCGGAUCGUAAAACUCUGUUGGUAGAGAAGAACGUUGGUGAGAGUGGAAAGCUCAUCAAGUGACGGUAACUACCCAGAAAGGGACGGCUAACUACGUG